GGCUCACGGCGCACGUCAGUGCCAUGCGAAGAUUCACUUGUCGCGCUGAGUUCGUUCGUGUCGUGUUCGCACAGCACAGCAGCGAGUAACAGUAACCAGAAUCGUUAUCAUUUGUGAUAACACACAACACAUCGCGACAAAUUACUAAACUAUUCGAUUAUUGCAUUAAAUACUUGCAAAGAGAAAACGAAAAUCGAAAAAUUAAGGAAAAGGAAACACGCUGCCAAUUGUGCCGUAACACGGGACAUUGAAAAGAAAGAAAGAAAAAAAGAAAAUCCAGCCGCAACGAACUUUAACUACAACUCGACCUAGGCCUAAAUUAUAAAUAUAUAAAAAAAAAAACAAACAAACGAAAA